rnacentral:rRNA from 1 species
UACGUAGGGGGCAAGCGUUGUCCGGAAUCAUUGGGCGUAAAGAGCGUGUAGGCGGCUUGGUAAGUCCGCUGUGAAAGUCCAGGGCUCAACCCUGGAAAGCCGGUGGAAACUGUCAAGCUUGAGUCCGGAAGAGGCGAGUGGAAUUCCUGGUGUAGCGGUGAAAUGCGCAGAUAUCAGGAGGAACACCAAUGGCAAAGGCAGCUCGCUGGGACGGUACUGACGCUGAGACGCGAAAGCGUGGGGAGCAAACAGG